rnacentral:tRNA from 1 species
GGUGGCUCAGUGGUAGAGCUCCUGCCUUGCAUGCAUGAGGCCCUGGGUUCAAUUCCUCAGCACCA